rnacentral:rRNA from 1 species
AUUGAACGCUGGCGGCAGGCCUAACACAUGCAAGUCGAGCGGAUGAAGGGAGCUUGCUCCUGGAUUCAGCGGCGGACGGGUGAGUAAUGCCUAGGAAUCUGCCUGGUAGUGGGGGAUAACGUCCGGAAACGGGCGCUAAUACCGCAUACGUCCUGAGGGAGAAAGUGGGGGAUCUUCGGACCUCACGCUAUCAGAUGAGCCUAGGUCGGAUUAGCUAGUUGGUGGGGUAAAGGCCUACCAAGGCGACGAUCCGUAACUGGUCUGAGAGGAUGAUCAGUCACACUGGAACUGAGACACGGUCCAGACUCCUACGGGAGGCAGCAGUGGGGAAUAUUGGACAAAGGGCGAAAGCCUGAUCCAGCCAUGCCGCGUGUGUGAAGAAGGUCUUCGGAUUGUAGAGCACUUUAAGUUGGGAGGAAGGGCAGUAAGUUAAUACCUUGCUGUUUUGACGUUACCAACAGAAUAAGCACCGGCUAACUUCGUG